rnacentral:rRNA from 1 species
UAAACAGAGGGAAGCGAGCCUGCGAGGGGGAGCGAAUCCCAAAAAUAACGUCCCAGUUCGGAUUGUAGUCUGCAACCCGACUACAUGAAGCUGGAAUCGCUAGUAAUCGCAGAUCAGAAUGCUGCGGUGAAUACGUUCCCGGGUCUUGUACACACCGCCCGUCACACCAUGGGAGUCGGAAAUGCCCGAAGUCGGUGACCCAACCUAUUCUGGAGGGAGCCGUCGAAGGCGGGACGGAUGACUGGGGUGAAGUCGUAACAAGGUAAC